ACCCAGACAAGUUACUUAUCAGCUUAUAGACGUUUUUAUAUAAAUAAAUAAUAAAUAUUCCAUAAUGUGUAGCUGCAUAUUGCACGUGUGUUGUAUAUAUAAACUGAUAUGCCUUCCAUUGUUUCUGUUGUUUUGGUUUAUGAUAUACAUGUUUGGUUGGAUUGAAUUUCCUAGGUACGAGUUUAAUUGGCACGCGAACAGGUGGCAGCAUUAAUACGAGCUACUUUCCGACCUUAUGUAUAUGUAAGAUAAUAUGCGGCACUAUCUUUUUGGUUAUCUGCGUGGCAUGUUGCAUGUUGGUUGUGACUUAUAAAAACAAUUAGUACACAAUUUAUGUCAGUUGGUUAUAUCAUAAAACCGUCUACCGAAAAUGAAGUCCCGGAUACAACGUCAAGUUCUUAAGAAGGCUAAAUGUGGAACCACUUCAAAUAAUAUUGAAACUGCUGCGACUCCCGUCAUCUAAGAAGCAAAAAUAAAAUAAAGUUGCUUCCUAGUUAAAUGCGUGUGUUUUUUUGCCUUAAUAGGCUGUCCCCUGACUAUGGUUGUUCUCGUGUUUGUAUAUAUCGCCUAUUUGCUGGAAGAUUGGCACUGAAGAUUACUGCAUAGCUAAGAGGAGAGAUAUCAUAUUACAAUGAAUAUAUUUCAAACCAGCUUACGCGUCUAAACUGCAUGGGUAAUGCAGUUUAUGAGUAGGAGUUCCGUUUUGACUUGAAACUAGCUUUUCCCAGUCAUUUCACGCUUGCUGCUGCUCAUUCUAAGCCAAAAGUGUAUUUAGAUAAUAAUAAAUGUGGAUUGUGGACCUUAAAGACAAAGUAACGUAAAAGCAUAAUAUACCUAUCGUAUAAGCUUGUCUUAAAAAUAACGAACACGGCAAAUAAAUAUUGAAUUGUAUUUUUAUGUUUAAUCUUAUCGCUAAGUCGAAUUUUCUUUUUUUAACACCUUAAUACAAAUGGUCAUAAGUGGCUAUCCAUUGUACAAUGUGCACCUCUGCCUACAUCUUCGGGGAUAAAAGGCAUGACGAUAC